CAAGUAGGCGGUUUAAUAAGUGAGAGGUGAAAUCUUCCGACUCAAUCGGAAAACUGCCUUUCAAACUAUUAGACUUGAGGCAUGGAGGGGGAAAUGGAAUUCCAGGUGUAAGGGUGAAAUCUGUAGAUAUCUGGAAGAACACCAGUGGCGAAGGCGAUUUCCUGGCCAUGUCCUGACGCUAAAUUGCGAAAGCUAGGGUAGCAAACAGGAUUAGAUACCCUGGUAGUCC
rnacentral:rRNA from 1 species